UUUUCCCUGGCCGUGCAUUGAUCUCUCUCUUUUUCUCCCUCUUUUUUUUUUUCUUCCCUCCUCCUCCCCCCUCCCUCCCUCAUUUUUUUCCCCAGUGGACUUUGAUCCCAGGAGAAGAGCUCGUGCGGGAUAACUGAGCCAGGACCGAGCUUUGUGGGAUUUAUCGGAGCCCAAUUCCUUCAGCAGCAGCAGGAGCAGGAAAAAGACCGGCUCCGGGGAAGAGCUCAGCCCCGGUAGGACCGGCUGAGAGAAGCGCUCUGCCCCUCCGUCCCCCCGAGUCCCCUCGGUCCAGGACCGGAGGGGAUGGACAGAGCCCCCCGGUUCCUGCCGCGACCCCCUUUCCCCCCCCGGACUUUUGAUUGACCCCUCCUCCCGCCCUCUGCCCGGAUGGACGGAGAGUAAGUAAUUCCCCCCUCACCGUCCAUCCAGGGUGAACCACUGCUCGCUCCCCGCCUCUGGUGGCGACCAACAUCCCGGGUGGACCACUGCCCGCUCCCAGAGUUGGGAUUGGGCCCCUGCGACUUAGAAAAAGGCCUGGGUCAGGGGGUCGCGGGGUGGGCAGGGGAAAGGAGGGAGAGAAGACGAAGCUGGACGCUUUGGAGACACCAUGGGCGCAGAGGGCGGGAGCCAGGUCUGCCGGGCUCCGAAAUAAUCCCACCCGGGCACGAUGUCCACCAGCGGAUUGCCGAUGUUUGGGAAAUAGCUCUGCCAGGCGAGGCUGGCCCGGGAAUACCUGCUUUGAGAAACCAAGAAGUCUCUCCAUCCCAUCAUAUUGGCAAAUUGGAAAGAGAUCUCCUCGCCCUGCUAUGGAAAAUGAACUGCUGUAGAUAAAGAUUAUUGCAUCGGGAGGUGAACAGGCUAUAAUACACUUCAGUUUUAAGGGGCAAGAAAGGACCAGAAAUUUUAGAGGUGAGGAGUGAAGACUGGGUGUUUUCAGCAUUGAUUGGAAGACUCAAGACCUUGUCAGAGACCUGGGGUGAGCAAAGGUGGGGUUCCAGCUCAAAAAGCUUUAGGGACAAUUGAUUGCUUCAAUCACUGCCAAAGAGUUGGUAAUUAAUAAAUCAAUAAAGGCCUUGCAAUGAAUAUUAAACAAAUACAUGCAUUCAUAUACACACAAGCAGAGGAUGGAGAUAAAUCCUAUGGGAUUUGUACCUGUUCCAAAGCCUAGGUGGAACUCUGGGAAGAAGUCAGGUGCCUAGUGGCAGGUUCUCCUUUGGAAGCAUUUCCCGCUGUUGAAGGUGAGGUGGUUGCCAGGACAAUAGCCUCCAUGAAAUUUUGCAGAGAAAGUCCAGUAAUUCAUCAUCUACCUUUUAAAUACUAGCAAAGUCCUGAAUCUGCUGGCAGAUUCCCGAACCACCUCCUGCUUCACUGGUGAGUCCAACACUUGGAAUUGAAGUACUUGAACCACUGUAAGAAACUGAAAGCUAAAAUCUGAAACCUUAAUUACUCAUGACACAACCUUGAGCAUGUGUCAAAGGGAAAAGAAAGUAAAGGAUGGAUUAUUAAAAUGAAAAGGUCACUUUGGCUUCCAAGACAGUGCUGUGUUUGCAGUAUACCUGUAAUUAGAACACAGGCAACAUCUAGUACCCCAGAACAGGUCUAAAUAUCUAUAUUCCUUUUAGAAAAGUCACAGGUAAGAAUAGGAACAAAU
rnacentral:lncRNA from 1 species